rnacentral:rRNA from 1 species
GCGGCGUGCCUAAUACAUGCAAGUAGAACGCUGAAGGAAGGAGCUUGCUCUUUCCGGAUGAGUUGCGAACGGUGAGUAAACGCGUAGGUAACCUGCCUGGUAGCGGGGGAUAACUAUUGGAAACGAUAGCUAAUACCGCAUAACAGUAGAUAUCGCAUGAUAUGUGCUUGAAAAGAUGCAAUUGCAUCACUACCAGAUGGACCUGCGUUGUAUUAGCUAGUUGGUGAGGUAACGGCUCACCAAGGCAACGAUACAUAGCCGACCUGAGAGGGUGAUCGGCCACACUGGGACUGAGACACGGCCCAGACUCUCUACGGGAGGCAGCAGUAGGGAAUCUUCGGCAAUGGACGGAAGUCUGACCGAGCAACGCCGCGUGAGUGAAGAAGGUUUUCGGAUCGUAAAGCUCUGUUGUAAGAGAAGAACGAGUGUGAGAGUGGAAAGUUCAC